GAUGUUUGGUUAAAAAUACUUAAAUGAUUAUAUUUAUCUAAGUGGAUUAUUUUGUGUCUAUAAAAGGUGAAAUUAAUUUUUUGUUGUACAAAUUAUUUUGUUUAUAUAUAUUAAGUUGAAGUUAUUAAGGUUAAGGUAUGGACCAGGAUUAGAGACCCUGUUACACUUUACUUUGAGUUUGAAUACCUGGGUAGUAAACAGUUAUAGCCUUGAAACUUAAAGGAUUUGGCGGUAAUUUAGUCUAGUUAGAGGAACCUGUCCUAUAAUCGAUAUACCACGAAAAAUCUUACUUUAUCUUGAAAAUAUCAGUUUAUAUACCGUCAUUAUCAGAUGACUUUAAGAAAAUAUUGAAGUUAUUAUAAUAAUUUUUAGUUAAUAUAUUAGAUCAAGGUGUAGCUAAUGAUAAAGUAGAGAUGGGUUACAAUAAUACUAGUUUAUAUGAAUCUAAGGGGGAAGAUUCUUAGUGAAGGAGGAUUUAAAUGUAAAGGUACUUUAAUAUGGUAUUUUGAUUAUAGCUCUAGGUUAUGUACACAUCGCCCGUCGCUCU
rnacentral:rRNA from 1 species